CUACGGGAGGCAGCAGUGGGGAAUAUUGGACAAUGGGGGCAACCCUGAUCCAGCAAUGCCGCGUGAGUGAAGAAGGCCUUAGGGUUGUAAAGCUCUUUCGCUCGUGACGAUGAUGACGGUAACGAGAGAAGAAGCCCCGGCUAAUUCCGUGCCAGCAGCCGCGGUAAUACGGAAGGGGCUAGCGUUGUUCGGAUUUACUGGGCGUAAAGCGCAUGUAGGCGGCCGUUCAAGUGAGGCGUGAAAGGCCUGGGCUCAACCCGGGAACGGCGCUUCAGACUGGAUGGCUAGAGUUCGGGAGAGGGUGGUGGAAUUUCCAGUGUAGAGGUGAAAUUCGUAGAUAUUGGAAGGAACACCGGUGGCGAAGGCGGCCACCUGGCCCGAAACUGACGCUCAAGUGCGAAAGCGUGGGGAGCAAACAGGAUUAGAUACCCUUGUAGUCC
rnacentral:rRNA from 1 species